rnacentral:misc_RNA from 1 species
GGGUAAAGAAGUAGAGAAAAUAGUCUUAAGUGCCACAUUCUGGAAGAAGAUGCAAUAUGUGAAAAAAUCUUUAGAGCCAAUUGCACAGGUUCUUCAAAAGGUAGAUAGUGAUGAAAGCCAAUCAAUGCCAUUUAUAUAUCAUGACAUGUAUAGAGCUAAGCUUGCAAUUAAAGCAAUCCAUGGGGACGAUGCACGAAAAUAUGGGCCUUUCUGGAGUGUAUUAGACAUCC